CGGUUGAUCCUGCCGGACCCCACUGCUAUCGGGAUAGGACUAAGACAUGCUAGUCAUGCGCUUUCAGGCUAAUGUGAAAGCGCGGCGUACAGCUCAGUAACACGUGGCUAACCUGCCCUUGGGACGGGAAUACCCCCGGGAAACUGGGGCUAAUUCCCGAUAGGUGAAAAAUUCUGGAAUGAAUUUUCGCCUAAAAGACGUUUAUGUCAUGCUCAUAGGCGUUGCCCAGGGAUGGGGCCGCGACCGAUCAGGUAGUUGGUGAGGUAAUGGCUCACCAAGCCUUUUACCGGUACGGGCCGUGAGAGCGGGAGCCCGGAGAUGGGCACUGAGACAAGGGCCCAGGCCCUACGGGGCGCAGCAGUCGCGAAAACUUUGCAAUACACGAAAGUGUGACAAGGCUAUCCCGAGUGCCAUCCGCUGAGGAAGGCUUUUACCCAGUAUAAAUAGCUGGGAGAAUAAGGAGAGGGCAAGUCUGGUGUCAGCCGCCGCGGUAAUACCAGCUCUCCGAGUAGUGUGGAUGUUUAUUGGGCCUAAAGCAUCCGUAGCUUGCUAUACAAGUCCCCUGUUAAAUCCACCGAUUUAAUCGUUGGAUUGCGGGGGAUACUGUUUGGCUAGGGGACGGGAGAGGCCGACGGUAUUUCCCGGGUAGGGGUGAAAUCCUAUAAUCCCGGGAAGACCACCAGUGGCGA
rnacentral:rRNA from 1 species